UACGGAGGGUGCGAGCGUUGUUCGGAAUUACUGGGCGUAAAGGGCGCGUAGGCGGCCGAUCAAGUCAGAUGUGAAAGUCCUGGGCUUAACCUGGGGACUGCAUUUGAUACUGAUUGGCUUGAAUGCAGGAGAGGAUAGCGGAAUUCCCAGUGUAGAGGUGAAAUUCGUAGAUAUUGGGAAGAACACCGGUGGCGAAGGCGGCUAUCUGGACUGUGAUUGACGCUGAGGCGCGAAAGCGUGGGGAGCAAACAGG
rnacentral:rRNA from 1 species